rnacentral:rRNA from 1 species
GGGUUGUGAGGUUAAGCGACUAAGCGUACACGGUGGAUGCCCUGGCAGUCAGAGGCGAUGAAGGACGUGCUAAUCUGCGAUAAGCGUCGGUAAGGUGAUAUGAACCGUUAUAACCGGCGAUUUCCGAAUGGGGAAACCCAGUGUGUUUCGACACACUAUCAUUAACUGAAUCCAUAGGUUAAUGAGGCGAACCGGGGGAACUGAAACAUCUAAGUACCCCGAGGAAAAGAAAUCAACCGAGAUUCCCCCAGUAGCGGCGAGCGAACGGGGAGCAGCCCAGAGCCUGAAUCAGUGUGUGUGUUAGUGGAAGCGUCUGGAAAGGCGCGCGAUACAGGGUGACAGCCCCGUACACAAAAAUGCACAUGCUGUGAGCUCGAUGAGUAGGGCGGGACACGUGGUAUCCUGUCUGAAUAUGGGGGGACCAUCCUCCAAGGCUAAAUACUCCUGACUGACCGAUAGUGAACCAGUACCGUGAGGGAAAGGCGAAAAGAACCCCGGCGAGGGGAGUGAAAAAGAACCUGAAACCGUGUACGUACAAGCAGUGGGAGCCUCUUUAUGGGGUGACUGCGUACCUUUUGUAUAAUGGGUCAGCGACUUAUAUUCUGUAGCAAGGUUAACCGAAUAGGGGAGCCGAAGGGAAACCGAGUCUUAACUGGGCGUUAAGUUGCAGGGUAUAGACCCGAAACCCGGUGAUCUAGCCAUGGGCAGGUUGAAGGUUGGGUAACACUAACUGGAGGACCGAACCGACUAAUGUUGAAAAAUUAGCGGAUGACUUGUGGCUGGGGGUGAAAGGCCAAUCAAACCGGGAGAUAGCUGGUUCUCCCCGAAAGCUAUUUAGGUAGCGCCUCGUGAAUUCAUCUCCGGGGGUAGAGCACUGUUUCGGCAAGGGGGUCAUCCCGACUUACCAACCCGAUGCAAACUGCGAAUACCGGAGAAUGUUAUCACGGGAGACACACGGCGGGUGCUAACGUCCGUCGUGAAGAGGGAAACAACCCAGACCGCCAGCUAAGGUCCCAAAGUCAUGGUUAAGUGGGAAACGAUGUGGGAAGGCCCAGACAGCCAGGAUGUUGGCUUAGAAGCAGCCAUCAUUUAAAGAAAGCGUAAUAGCUCACUGGUCGAGUCGGCCUGCGCGGAAGAUGUAACGGGGCUAAACCAUGCACCGAAGCUGCGGCAGCGACGCUGAUGCGUUGUUGGGUAGGGGAGCGUUCUGUAAGCCUGCGAAGGUGUGCUGUGAGGCAUGCUGGAGGUAUCAGAAGUGCGAAUGCUGACAUAAGUAACGAUAAAGCGGGUGAAAAGCCCGCUCGCCGGAAGACCAAGGGUUCCUGUCCAACGUUAAUCGGGGCAGGGUGAGUCGACCCCUAAGGCGAGGCCGAAAGGCGUAGUCGAUGGGAAACAGGUUAAUAUUCCUGUACUUGGUGUUACUGCGAAGGGGGGACGGAGAAGGCUAUGUUGGCCGGGCGACGGUUGUCCCGGUUUAAGCGUGUAGGCUGGUUUUCCAGGCAAAUCCGGAAAAUCAAGGCUGAGGCGUGAUGACGAGGCACUACGGUGCUGAAGCAACAAAUGCCCUGCUUCCAGGAAAAGCCUCUAAGCAUCAGGUAACAUCAAAUCGUACCCCAAACCGACACAGGUGGUCAGGUAGAGAAUACCAAGGCGCUUGAGAGAACUCGGGUGAAGGAACUAGGCAAAAUGGUGCCGUAACUUCGGGAGAAGGCACGCUGAUAUGUAGGUGAAGCGACUUGCUCGUGGAGCUGAAAUCAGUCGAAGAUACCAGCUGGCUGCAACUGUUUAUUAAAAACACAGCACUGUGCAAACACGAAAGUGGACGUAUACGGUGUGACGCCUGCCCGGUGCCGGAAGGUUAAUUGAUGGGGUUAGCGGUAACGCGAAGCUCUUGAUCGAAGCCCCGGUAAACGGCGGCCGUAACUAUAACGGUCCUAAGGUAGCGAAAUUCCUUGUCGGGUAAGUUCCGACCUGCACGAAUGGCGUAAUGAUGGCCAGGCUGUCUCCACCCGAGACUCAGUGAAAUUGAACUCGCUGUGAAGAUGCAGUGUACCCGCGGCAAGACGGAAAGACCCCGUGAACCUUUACUAUAGCUUGACACUGAACAUUGAGCCUUGAUGUGUAGGAUAGGUGGGAGGCUUUGAAGUGUGGACGCCAGUCUGCAUGGAGCCGACCUUGAAAUACCACCCUUUAAUGUUUGAUGUUCUAACGUUGACCCGUAAUCCGGGUUGCGGACAGUGUCUGGUGGGUAGUUUGACUGGGGCGGUCUCCUCCUAAAGAGUAACGGAGGAGCACGAAGGUUGGCUAAUCCUGGUCGGACAUCAGGAGGUUAGUGCAAUGGCAUAAGCCAGCUUGACUGCGAGCGUGACGGCGCGAGCAGGUGCGAAAGCAGGUCAUAGUGAUCCGGUGGUUCUGAAUGGAAGGGCCAUCGCUCAACGGAUAAAAGGUACUCCGGGGAUAACAGGCUGAUACCGCCCAAGAGUUCAUAUCGACGGCGGUGUUUGGCACCUCGAUGUCGGCUCAUCACAUCCUGGGGCUGAAGUAGGUCCCAAGGGUAUGGCUGUUCGCCAUUUAAAGUGGUACGCGAGCUGGGUUUAGAACGUCGUGAGACAGUUCGGUCCCUAUCUGCCGUGGGCGCUGGAGAACUGAGGGGGGCUGCUCCUAGUACGAGAGGACCGGAGUGGACGCAUCACUGGUGUUCGGGUUGUCAUGCCAAUGGCACUGCCCGGUAGCUAAAUGCGGAAGAGAUAAGUGCUGAAAGCAUCUAAGCACGAAACUUGCCCCGAGAUGAGUUCUCCCUGACCCUUUAAGGGUCCUGAAGGAACGUUGAAGACGACGACGUUGAUAGGCCGGGUGUGUAAGCGCAGCGAUGCGUUGAGCUAACCGGUACUAAUGAACCGUGAGGCUUAACCUUACAACGCCGAAGCUGUU